GACGAACGCUGGCGGCGUGCUUAACACAUGCAAGUCGAACGGAAAGGCCUUUUCGGAGGUACUCGAGUGGCGAACGGGUGAGUAACACGUGGGUGAUCUGCCCUGCACUCUGGGAUAAGCCUGGGAAACUGGGUCUAAUACCGGAUAGGACCGCACUUUAGUGUGUGUGGUGGAAAGUUUUUUCGGUGUAGGAUGAGCCCGCGGCCUAUCAGCUUGUUGGUGGGGUAAUGGCCUACCAAGGCGGCGACGGGUAGCCGGACUGAGAGGUUGGUCGGCCACAUUGGGACUGAGAUACGGCCCAGACUCCUACGGGAGGCAGCAGUGGGGAAUAUUGCACAAUGGGCGCAAGCCUGAUGCAGCGACGCCGCGUGGGGGAUGACGGCCUUCGGGUUGUAAACUCCUUUCGCCAGGGACGAAGCGUUUUGUGACGGUACCUGGAGAAGCAGCACCGGCUAACUACGUG
rnacentral:rRNA from 1 species